UGAGCACCGACCAAAAGGGCUGAUGUUCCU
rnacentral:piRNA from 1 species